ACUGGGAUGGGGGUCUCCACAGCAUGACUUUGGGGCCUGGAUGCCCAAUGCUCCAUCAUCCAUGAGGCAGCCCCCACCCCAGACCAAGGGGACCACCACCCUGAAGACUUACCUAGACACCCUCCCUGAAGUGAACAUCAGCUGUAACAACCUCCUCCUCUUCUGGUUGGUUAGCCAAGAACCCAAGGACCAGAGGCCCCUGGGCACCUACCCAGAUGAGCACUUCACAGAGGAGGCCCCGAGGCGGAGCAUCGCCGCCUUCCAGAGCCGCCUGGCUCAGAUCUCAAGGGACAUCCAGGAGCGGAACCAGGGUCUGGCACUGCCCUACACCUACCUGGACCCUCCCCUCAUUGAGAACAGCGUCUCCAUCUAACCACCCCCAAAUACCACCCAAGAAGAAAGAAAGGUCCAAGCAUGAGGAGGACCAGUUCCUCAGGGUCCUCCAGACCCUUCCAUCCUCCCUGUUCUCAGUUCACCUGAACCUUCUCUUCUGCACAUGGAGACCUUUGCAGCCAAGAUGGCUCUGACAUCAUACAAACUGGGCCCUGAGCUGUGAGAGACCAGCACAGCAGCGUCCAGGUUAAAAGCCGCUGACCAAAGUCCAAUGCACAAUAGCCCCUCUGAAAGGAAGGAACCGCUUCACUUCUUGCCCUACUUGGGGCAGCCUCUUGUUCCAGCCUCUUGGAAUGCCCAGCUUGGGUUUCUGAGCUUUUCUCCCUCAUCCUCCCCCAUCCCCGAACUCCUUCUCCUAC
rnacentral:sRNA from 1 species